rnacentral:rRNA from 1 species
ACGGGAGGCAGCAGUGGGGAAUAUUGGGCAAUGGGCGAAAGCCUGACCCAGCAACGCCGCGUGAGGGAUGAAUGUUUUCGGAUUGUAAACCUCUGUCCUCAGGGACGAAGGAAGUGACGGUACCUGAGGAGGAAGCCCCGGCUAACUACGUGCCAGCAGCCGCGGUAAUACGUAGGGGGCGAGCGUUGUCCGGAAUGACUGGGCGUAAAGGGCGCGUAGGCGGCUGUGUAAGUCUGGAGUGAAAGUCCUGCUUUUAAGGUGGGAAUUGCUUUGGAGACUGCAUGGCUUGAGUGCGGAAGAGGCAAGUGGAAUUCCCAGUGUAGCGGUGAAAUGCGUAGAGAUUGGGAAGAACACCAGUGGCGAAGGCGACUUGCUGGGCCGUAACUGACGCUGAGGCGCGAAAGCGUGGGGAGCGAACAGGAUUAGAUACCCUGGUA